GAUGAAGAACGUAGCGAAAUGCGAUACUUGGUGUGAAUUGCAGAAUCCCGUGAACCAUCGAGUCUUUGAACGCAAGUUGCGCCCGAAGCCAUUAGGCCGAGGGCACGCCUGCCUGGGCGUCACACGUCGUUGCCCCCCCAUCUACUCUUCGGGAUUGCGGGGGGCGGAUGAUGGCCUCUCGUGCGCCUCGUCGCGCGGUUGGCCUAAAUGCCAAGUCCUCGGCGACGCACGCCACGACAAUCGGUGGUUGCGAAACCUCGGUUGCCUGUCGUGUGCGGUCGUCGCGCAUCGAGGGCUCGAAAAAAUUGCCGGGCUUCGGCUCGACUUUCAACGCGACCCCAGGUCAGGCGGGGUUACCCGCUGAAUUUAAGCAUAUCAAUAAGCGGAGGA
rnacentral:misc_RNA from 1 species